GGGUGAGUAACACGUGAGUAACCUGCCCUUAACUCUGGGAUAAGCCUGGGAAACUGGGUCUAAUACCGGAUAGGAGCGUCCACCGCAUGGUGGGUGUUGGAAAGAUUUAUCGGUUUUGGAUGGACUCGCGGCCUAUCAGCUUGUUGGUGAGGUAAUGGCUCACCAAGGCGACGACGGGUAGCCGGCCUGAGAGGGUGACCGGCCACACUGGGACUGAGACACGGCCCAGACUCCUACGGGAGGCAGCAGUGGGGAAUAUUGCACAAUGGGCGCAAGCCUGAUGCAGCGACGCCGCGUGAGGGAUGACGGCCUUCGGGUUGUAAACCUCUUUCAGUAGGGAAGAAGCGAAAGUGACGGUACCUGCAGAAGAAGCACCGGCUAACUACGUGCCAGCAGCCGCGGUAAUACGUAGGGUGCGAGCGUUAUCCGGAAUUAUUGGGCGUAAAGAGCUCGUAGGCGGUUUGUCGCGUCUGUCGUGAAAGUCCGGGGCUUAACCCCGGAUCUGCGGUGGGUACGGGCAGACUAGAGUGCAGUAGGGGAGACUGGAAUUCCUGGUGUAGCGGUGGAAUGCGCAGAUAUCAGGAGGAACACCGAUGGCGAAGGCAGGUCUCUGGGCUGUAACUGACGCUGAGGAGCGAAAGCAUGGGGAGCGAACAGGAUUAGAUACCCUGGUAGUCCAUGCCGUAAACGUUGGGCACUAGGUGUGGGGACCAUUCCACGGUUUCCGCGCCGCAGCUAACGCAUUAAGUGCCCCGCCUGGGGAGUACGGCCGCAAGGCUAAAACUCAAAGGAAUUGACGGGGGCCCGCACAAGCGGCGGAGCAUGCGGAUUAAUUCGAUGCAACGCGAAGAACCUUACCAAGGCUUGACAUGUUCUCGAUCGCCGUAGAGAUACGGUUUCCCCUUUGGGGCGGGUUCACAGGUGGUGCAUGGUUGUCGUCAGCUCGUGUCGUGAGAUGUUGGGUUAAGUCCCGCAACGAGCGCAACCCUCGUUCCAUGUUGCCAGCACGUCGUGGUGGGGACUCAUGGGAGACUGCCGGGGUCAACUCGGAGGAAGGUGAGGACGACGUCAAAUCAUCAUGCCCCUUAUGUCUUGGGCUUCACGCAUGCUACAAUGGCCGGUACAAUGGGUUGCGAUACUGUGAGGUGGAGCUAAUCCCAAAAAGCCGGUCUCAGUUCGGAUUGGGGUCUGCAACUCGACCCCAUGAAGUCGGAGUCGCUAGUAAUCGCAGAUCAGCAACGCUGCGGUGAAUACGUUCCCGGGCCUUGUACACACCGCCCGUCAAGUCACGAAA
rnacentral:rRNA from 1 species